rnacentral:rRNA from 1 species
GACGAACGCUGGCGGCGUGCUUAACACGUGCAAGUCGAACGAAGAGCGAUGGAAGCUAGCUUCUAUCAAUCUUAGUGGCGAACGGGUGAGUAACGCGUAAUCAACCUGCCCUUCAGAGGGGGACAACAGUUGGAAACGACUGCUAAUACCGCAUACGAUCUAACCUCGGCAUCGAGGAUAGAUGAAAGGUGGCCUCUACAUGUAAGCUAUCACUGAAGGAGGGGAUUGCGUCUGAUUAGCUAGUUGGAGGGGUAACGGCCCACCAAGGCGAUGAUCAGUAGCCGGUCUGAGAGGAUGAACGGCCACAUUGGGACUGAGACACGGCCCAGACUCCUACGGGAGGCAGCAGUGGGGAAUCUUCCGCAAUGGACGAAAGUCUGACGGAGCAACGCCGCGUGAGUGAUGACGGCCUUCGGGUUGUAAAGCUCUGUUAAUCGGGACGAAAGGCCUUCUUGCGAAUAGUUAGAAGGAUUGACGGUACCGGAAUAGAAAGCCACGGCUAACUACGUG